rnacentral:ncRNA from 1 species
GAAAAUAGCUACUUAGGUGGUUAAGUGUGGCCCUGAAAGGGGUGCGCAAGUGCCAGGUUCUGGCGCGACACUGUCAAAUUGCGGGGACUCCCUAAAGCUUCGACGACCGCCUCCCUUACGAAAGUAGGGUGUUUAGGCACCAGGUUAACGACCUCGGGUAUGGUAAAACUGUCGAAGAUGCAACAAUGGGUAAUCUGCAGCCAAGUCCUAAGCUCCUUUACCAGGGGUAUGGAUGCAGUUCACAGACUAAAUGGCAGUGGGCUCUGUUUAGGGGCUUAAGAUAUAGUCGGUCCCCCGGGGAGACCCGGGC